GACGAACGCUGGCGGCGUGCUUAACACAUGCAAGUCGAACGGAAAGGCCCUGCUUUUGUGGGGUGCUCGAGUGGCGAACGGGUGAGUAACACGUGAGUAACCUGCCCUUGACUUUGGGAUAACUUCAGGAAACUGGGGCUAAUACCGGAUAGGAGCUCCUGCUGCAUGGUGGGGGUUGGAAAGUUUCGGCGGUUGGGGAUGGACUCGCGGCUUAUGAGCUUGUUGGUUGGGUAGUGGCUUACCAAGGCUUUGACGGGUCGCCGGACGCAGCGCGGGACCGGCCACACUGCCACUAUGACGCGGCCCAGAACCCUACGGGUGGCAGCAGUCGGAAAUCUUCCCCAAUGGGCGGAAGCCUAACGCAGCAACGCCGCGUGCGGGAUGACGGCCUUCGGGUUGUAAACCGCUUUCGCCUGUGACGAAGCGUGAGUGACGGUAAUGGGUACAGAAGCACCGGCUAACUACGUG
rnacentral:rRNA from 1 species